UGAAAAAAUAAUUUGUCUGGAAUUUUUAUUUCGUUUAUAUAAAUAUUUGAAAUGGAUACAAUCGCGUUAAAUUUAAGUGAUAGUGAAAUGAAAAUUGUGCAAAAUUUCGUCGUGAACGCAGAAAUUUAAGAAAUAGUUCUAAAAACAUAUUGGAUAUGGAUGAUUUGAAAUUCACUGGGCUCAGGUGAUGACAUGGGCAAUGAUGAAGGCUCGGUCAU